UAAUACCAAUAUAUAAAUAUAAUAAUAUCAGUAAUUUUGCUCAAAACUAGCAAAUUAAUUUGAGGCUGUUCAGUCAAUCCACAGUUCCUGUCAGAGAGGGAAAAAAAAUAUGUCCAGCCUCUUCUGUAUGUUGCUGUAGGAAAAGUUAAAUGGAGUCCAUGUGUUAAAAAUCACAUUCGGUUAUAACUAAUGAUGCUGGUUGGGGAACUGCAGUGAGGCAGCAGGUUAAAAGAAGGUUUAGGCUCCUGUAUGUGAAGAGUAACUGCGUUUUGCUAGUUAGCGAAGCCAGCGGCUAGCUAACCUUGUAGCCGUGCUAUCCGCUAAUGUGUUAUCCUUCUGUGGUAUGGUGUAGCCCUCAGGCAGCAAACCAAAUUUCUGAAAAGAAAGAAACUGAGAUUCUGGGUUCAUCCAGUUGUCAAAGAAGACAGCAGCAGAGAGAAUUUCAUGGUUUGAUCCAGGAGUUGAAGCUGUAUCACUGACAUCCGGCAUCAGUUUGAGCUCUUGCUGGCAGAGUGGGCAACACAUCUGAGGAGGCAGAGAAAUCAUUGCAUAGAGCCAAAUGACCCAGAGCAGUGUCUAAGACUGUUUGCAAUCAUCUCGGAGAGAGGAGUACCAGCAUCUCAACAGAGACUAAAACCAGCAACCCCAUCUGUUGCUCUGAACUUCUCUAGAUAGCAUGCACAAAGAGCAGCACAGACCAUUAAAGUCUGCAGGCCAAAAGACCAACCAGUAACCUGGAGGAGAACAAGGUGACAAACUCAGCAAAGUCACAGCAUCCUACAAAGAGGAGUUGGCUAAGCUGAGGAUUAAGAACAAACCUGAAAAUCACUGAAAGAGGAGAAAAAGCAAAAAUGCACAAAACAGAGAAGAAACUUGAAAACGUAAAGACUUGUUGGAAGUCCAGAGAGUGCUAAAGGAAGAGAAAAGGGCAACGCAAGAGGCAAAAAAAGAAAUUCAAAAUGCAAAGAAGGAAUUGUUGGAAGUCCAGAAAGCACUGGAAGAGAAGACAAGGGGACUGGAAAAUUAAUUGUUAAAGGUCAGUAAAGCACUCAAAGAUGAGACGAUUGACAUGAUGGGGAUAAAGACAGAUGGUAGACACUGAACUGUCACAGAAGGAUGGGGGAAGAAGAAGAAGAAGCAGGUGAAAAAGAAGACAAACGAGCAGCACAAGAAAGUCAAGAACAAGAGCUGCUUCCAAAAGAAAAAACAUCUACUAGUUACACAAACUUACAGGAUACUGAUGGUUCAACUCAGGGAGAGCGAUAGCUUCCUCUUCCUCUUCCUCUCCCCUUUUUCCACUUUCCCUUUAUCUUCUCUACCUUCACCACUCCACCUUUAAUCCACUUCCUGUUUCUCCCCCCUUUCAUCCUCCCUUCUCCAUCCUCCCUCUACCACCUUCUCUCCCCUGGCCCUCCACUUCACCUUCUCUUACUCUCUUACUACCUUCAUUAUCCCUCUAUCUCUUCUUCUUUGUCCUUUCCUUACCUUUGAAAUGAAGAGUAAUAAUAUAUAAUAAUCUUCAUCAUCAUAAGUGAAUAAAAAUCAGUCAAUAAAUAAUCCUGUGUGUGUCUG
ensembl:lncRNA